CUCUCACUCUGUGGGAAGCCGGGUGCCAUGUAAAGUCUGCUACCCUGAGACCGCCAUGCUGGGAGGAAGCCCAAGCUGGCCAUGUGGGGAGGCCCACGACGAGAGAGUCCUGCCAGUCCCGCUGUUCGUGUCAUCUCAGCUGAGGCAUCAGACGUGAUAAUGAUGGAUGGAGAUGACGAUUAAACGACUCCAGCCCCCGCCUCCACCUGACUCGGACUCUCAGAGAGACCCCGGAUGACACUGCCCAGCCGAGCCUGGAAUUCUUUAGGGUUCCCUGGUGACCCUGAAGUAUGGUGCCCUAGAGGAAAGACAGGGGAAUGGUGAGUCCUUUCCUCUUCACUGGUGGCCUCCGUUACAGCAGCGACCUGGCCCUUCCUGGAUUUGUGGCCCACAUCAAGGCAGGAGAGAGAGAAGAAGGCUGAGGAAGCUGACAGCAGACGUGGUUUCCAAGGAAACAGGAAGCCGCGAUGGGAGCCUAGUGUUUGAUGAGGAAUACACGGGAAGUUGUCUUCCCUGGAGCUCCAAGCACAGGACGCCUUUGCUCGGAGUCUGUCCCGGGAUUCAUCCGCGAGGAUUCCAGCCUGUGGACCCGCCUGGUCCCGGGUGGAGGGAUGGCGGGCCUGAGUGCCGAAUGCUCCAGAAAUAAACCGAGCAAUGACACUGUGUCCAGCGCUCAGACACCGUGAUCUGAGGUGGCCGAGGUGCAAGACCUCCCUGGAGCCGUCAAGAAUCAGCAUCUAAGGGGCACUUCUUUGGGGCCACACGUGACACGGGGCGGGCUGGAGCUGUAGGCA
rnacentral:lncRNA from 1 species